rnacentral:rRNA from 1 species
CCUACGGGAGGCAGCAGUGAGGAAUAUUGGUCAAUGGACGAGAGUCUGAACCAGCCAAGUAGCGUGAAGGAUGACUGCCCUCUGGGUUGUAAACUUCUUUUAUAUGGGAAUAAAAUGUUCCACGUGUGGGAUUUUGUAUGUACCAUAUGAAUAAGGAUCGGCUAACUCCGUGCCAGCAGCCGCGGUAAUACGGAGGAUCCGAGCGUUAACCGGAUUUACUGGGUGUAAAGGGAGCGUAGGUGGAUUGUUAAGUCAGUUGUGAAAGUUUGCGGCUCAACCGUAAAAUUGCAGUUGAAACUGGCAGGCUGGAGUACAGGAGAGGUGGGCGGAAUUCGUGGUGUAGCGGUGAAAUGCUUAGAUAUCACGAAGAACUCCGAUUGCGAAGGCAGUUCACUGGACUGUAACUGACACUGAGGCUCGAAAGUGUGGGUAUCAAACAGGAUUAGAUACCCCGGUAGUC